rnacentral:tRNA from 1 species
GCCGGGGUGGCGAAAUGGCAGACGCGCCAGCCUUAGAAGCUGGUGGGAGCAAUCCCGUGGAGGUUCAAGUCCUCUCCCCGGCACUA